GUGUCAAUGGAGACACCAAGGAGCAACCUCUCUUCUCCCCCGCUGCCAUUGACACUGCUUGAGGGUCGUCCAGAGGAUGAGUUAGGGACAGAUGUGGACGUCCCUGAUAUCCAAGACGACCAAGUACCGGGGGAUGACACUGCCCCAGCCAUCUAGUUGGCGCUGGCAGAUGAGGAGGUGGCUGGAACACUAUCUGACCAGGAAUCCAUCCUGGGCGCUGCUCCUGCCAUCUUGCUAGCGCUGGCAAAGGAUGAGGUGGCUGGAGGAGAAUCUCGCAAAUUCGCAAUCAGGGGACACAGACCGAACCCUUCUGCAUGAUUUGUUCCAUCAACAGGUGGAGGGGCUCCAGACUGUCGCCACUGCAGGGGAUACAGGAGGACAUACUCAAUGUUUUCUAAAAAGUUUGUUGAAAUAAUAUGUAUUUAAUAAAAAUUAUAAUGUA